rnacentral:tRNA from 1 species
GCAUUGGUGGUUCAGUGGUAGAAUUCUCGUCUGCCAUGCAGGAGGCCCAGGUUUGAUUCCUGGCCAAUGCA